rnacentral:rRNA from 1 species
UCCUACGGGAGGCAGCAGUGGGGAAUAUUGGACAAUGGGCGAAAGCCUGAUCCAGCAAUGUCGCGUGUGUGAAGAAGGUCUUCGGAUCGUAAAGCACUUUCGACGGGGACGAUGAUGACGGUACCCGUAGAAGAAGCCCCGGCUAACUUCGUGCCAGCAGCCGCGGUAAUACGAAGGGGGCUAGCGUUGCUCGGAAUUACUGGGCGUAAAGGGCGCGUAGGCGGCGCUCCAAGUUAGGCGUGAAAUUCCCGGGCUCAACCUGGGGACUGCGCUUAAGACUGGAGUGCUUGAGGAUGGAAGAGGGUUGUGGAAUUCCCAGUGUAGAGGUGAAAUUCGUAGAUAUUGGGAAGAACACCGGUGGCGAAGGCGGCAACCUGGUCCAUUACUGACGCUGAGGCGCGAUAGCGUGGGGAGCAAACAGGAUUAGAUACCCUGGUAGUCCACGCCGUAAACGAUGUGCGCUGGAUGUUGGAGUUCCUAGAACUUCAGUGUCGUAGCUAACGCGAUAAGCGCACCGCCUGGGGAGUACGGCCGCAAGGUUGAAACUCAAAUGAAUUGACGGA